AGAUCCCCUACUUCUCCAUGACUUAGACGUCGUCCCUGUGGGACUCCCCCCAUUUACGCAGAUGGGGAGGUGUCCCUGACAUGAAGACUUAAAAAGCCCCAGAUCCAGAACAAGAUGGGAAAACUCACCGGAAAGAGUUAAUGCAAUCACGGGGCUCUGGAAAGGAGCAGAAUAUGAAAGGGCCCAGAGGUCUGGCAGCAACGGCCUUGGCUCUUCUCCUGGCGUCGGCAGUGCUUGGAGACCCCCGCCGCGCUCCGCAGAGACCUGUGGCGAGAAGGAACUGGACCCCGCAGGCUAUGCUGUACCUGAAGGGCGCAC